rnacentral:tRNA from 1 species
GGUUGUGUGGCCGAGUGGUUAUGGCGCUGCGUUCAGGUUUCAACUUGAAUUUACUCUCCAGUAAUAUCGCAGUGGAGCAAUCCUCGUGGGUUCGAGUCCCACCGCAAUCA